AUUUAUGGUCAAGCUAUUAAGGGCGUACAGCGAAUGCCUUGGCGAGACAUGGCGAUGAAGGGCGUGGCAAACUGCGAAAAGCCCCGGGAAGGUGCAAGCAACCUACAAUCCGGGGAUUCCCGAAUGGGGCAACCCAUCUGCCCGUAAGGGUGGAUAUUCGUCGCAAGACGAAAGCGAACCAGGAGAAGUGAACCAUCUCAGUACCCUGAGGAAAAAAAAGAAAUCUCGAUUCCCUAAGUAGCGGCGAGCGAAAGGGGAAGAGCCCAAACCGUAUAAUGGUAUAAGCGUAGGUGCGUUCAUUAUGCGGUGUCGUAGGGUCUGGCAAGAGAGAACCUACUCUCUCAACAGGGAAAACGUUUUUGGAAUAGUAGAAUGGCAUGGAAAUGUCAACCACAGAAGGUGAAAGUCCUGUAAAUUAAAUUCUAAAAACACCUGCGUCAGAUUCCUAAGUACAGCGGAGGAUCCGAGGAGCUCCGCUGGAAUCCAGGAGGACCACCUCCUAAGGCUAAAUACAUUGUCUCGACCGAUAGUGUACAAGUACCGCGAGGGAAAGGUGAAAAGAACCCCGGAAGGGGAGUGAAAUAGAACCUGAAACUGUAUGCCUACAAGCAGUCGGAGUCCAUCUUCGGAUGGAUGACGGCGUGCCUAUUGAAGAAUGAGCCGGCGAGUUAUUGACUGUAGCAAGGUUAAUCCGCUUCAGCGGAGAAGCCGUAGCGAAAGCGAGUGGUCCUAACUGGGCCCAUUAGUUGCAGUUAAUAGACCCGAAGCUGGGCGAUCUAACCAUGGCCAGGAUGAGUCCCGAGUAAUGUCGGGAGGAGGUCCGAACCGGUGUUCGUUGCAAAGAGCUCGGAUGAGCUGUGGUUAGGAGUGAAAGGCUAAUCAAGCCCAGUGAUAGCUGGUUCUCCCCGAAAUGACUUGAGGGUCAGCCUCACUUUAUAGAAUAGAGGGGGUAGAGCACUGAUAGGGCAAGGUUCCUCACAAGGAGCCGAGUUCUUUCAAACUCCGAAUACCUCUAUUUGUUAAGUGGGAGUGAGACUGUGGGGGCUAAGCUCCAUAGUCAAAAGGGAUUCAGCCCAGACCAUCAGCUAAGGUCCCUAAAUUCAGGCUAAGUGGUAAAGGAAGUGGGAUUACACAGACAACCAGGAGGUUGGCUUAGAAGCAGUCAUCCUUUAAAGAAAGCGUAACAGCUCACUGGUCGAUGCGAUUCUGCACCGACAAUUCAACGGGGCUCAAGUCUGGUACCGAAGCUAUGGUUUUCGUCAGUAAAUGACGGAAAGGUAGGGGAGCAUUCCCUGACAAUGAAGUUCAUCCGUAAGGGUGGAUGGAGUCAAGGGAAGAGAGAAUGUCGGCAUAAGUAGCGAAAAUCCCGAUGAGAAUUCGGGACACCGAAAGCCUAAGGUUUCCUGGGGAAGGUUCGUCCGCCCAGGGUUAGGCGGGAGCUAAGUCAAGGCCGAAAGGCGUAGACGAUGCACAGCUGGUUAAUAUUCCAGCCCCAUCUGGUAAGCGUUAACACCUAAGGGGGGACGGAGAGGAAUAAGUCAUCCGGUGAUUGGUAGUACCGGUUUAACUCCUGAAGUCCGCUUGUGGCAAAUCCAUGAGCGCCAAGGACUGAUGGAGGAAUACGAGCUCAAUCGCAAGAGCGAGCGAAGUGGCUGAGUUCUUCUUCCAAGAAAAGCCUCGUAGGGAGUUUAUCAGGUGCCCGUACCGCAAACCGACACAGGUAGGCUGGGGGAAUACCCUAAGGUGCGCGAGAUAACCCUUGCUAAGGAACUCGGCAAAAUAACCCCGUAACUUCGGAAGAAGGGGUGCCUAAGUAGAAUAUGGUUAUUCAAUAAUUAUAUUUGAAAAGGCCGCAGCGAAAUGGCUCCUGCGACUGGUUAUCAAAAACACAGGGCUCUGCAAACUCGUAAGAGAAUGUAUAGGGCCUGACAAGUGCCCAGUGCCGGAAGGUUAAGAGGAGGUGUCAUUUGUCUUCGGACAGAGAAGCACUGAAUCCAAGCCCCGGCAAACGGCGGCCGUAACUAUAACGGUCCUAAGGUAGCGAAAUUCCUUGUCGGGUAAGUUCCGACCCGCACGAAUCUUGUAACGAUGGGAGCGCUGUCUCGGCGAGGGGCUCGGCGAAUUUGUGAUACCUGCGAAGACGCAGGUUACCCGCGGCUAGACGAUAAGACCCCGGAACCUUUACUGCAACCUGCUAUUGGAUUUUAGAAUAAUCUGCGUAGGAUAGGUGGGAGGCUAUGAAGUCCUGAUUCCGGUCAGGAUGGAGCCAUUGGUGAAAUACCACUCUUAUUAUUUUGAAAUCCUAACCUCUGUCUGUGAAUCCAGGCAAGGGACAGUGGGAGGUGGGCAGUUUGACUGGGGCAGUUGCCUCCUAAAAGGUAACGGAGGCGCCCAAAGGUUCCCUCAGCCUGGUUGGCAAUCAGGUGUCGAGUGUAAGU
rnacentral:rRNA from 1 species